rnacentral:piRNA from 1 species
UCNCAGGACUCUUGUAGUGAAGUCUGCCC